AGCUUUGCGCAGUGGCAGUAUCAUAGCCAAUGAGGUUUAUCCGAGGCACGAUUAUUGCUGAUUGAAAACUUUUCCCAAUACCCCGCCAUGACGACCAUCUCCAUCCAUGUGCCCUUGCAAAUGGCAAGAUUGCAUUCUUUUUGUACAC